UACGUAGGGUGCGAGCGUUGUCCGGAAUUAUUGGGCGUAAAGGGCUCGUAGGCGGUUUGUCACGUCGGGAGUGAAAACUCAGGGCUUAACCCUGAGCCUGCUUCCGAUACGGGCAGACUAGAGGUAUGCAGGGGAGAACGGAAUUCCUGGUGUAGCGGUGAAAUGCGCAGAUAUCAGGAGGAAUACCGGUGGCGAAGGCGGCAUCCUGGACCGAGAUUGACGCUGAUGAGCGAAAGCUAGGGGAGCAAACGGG
rnacentral:rRNA from 1 species